CUAGAAAAUUAAUGUAUUAGAUUUAAAUUGGUUAAUCAUUAAUUGCAUUGUGGAUUCCUUUUUUUGCACCUUUAACCAACAGUUGAAUAAUUUAAUAAUAAUAAAAGUGCAACAGAUCUGAAAUGAAUAUAAAAUAUUAUUUAUUUGUUUACUUGUUCAGUCAAUGGUGCAAAAAGGUAUCUGGACUAGAUGACCUAUCUGGCCUUUGAUUAGGCCUACUGCAUCUUCUGAUGGAGAUGUAAAACGAAGUGUGUGAGUUUAAAAGACCCGUGUGUUCCUCUAAGAAGGACAGGGUGAAGGAAAUGCACCAUACCGUGACGUAGGGCACGGCCGACAUGCUGCAGCUCCAGACCCGGAGGGGUUGGCAGCUCAGGAUCAGAGACAAGCGACUCGGCGCGCCAGGAUCUGUAAUCUAAGACGGCAAAUUCGGCGCUUAGCGUUCCUUUCGAACCGGUUUCACUGACUGCGUUUAACGUGCAGCGAAGGACGGGAUUAAGGCAGGUGAGCUGCAUGAUGGCAGGCUGAUCGCCGAUCAGAAGAAGGAGGUGGAAGAUUGAAGACCCGAUUUUUAUUUAGUUUUUUUGUUAAAUAAAAGGUUUCUUUAAACAACCAACACCUGCCUGACUGUACGAGUUAUUUAC